UGUCUUUUUGAAAAUAAUAUAAAGUCUAAUCUGCCCACUGAUUUAAUAUUAAAGGGCUGCAGUAUAUUGACUGUACAAAGGUAGCAUAAUCAUUAGUCAUUUAAUUGAUGACUUGUAUGAAGGAUUGGAUGAAAUAUAAACUGUCUCUUAAUUAUAUUUAGAAUUUAAUUUUUUAAUUAAAAAGUUAAAAUGAAUUAAAAAGACGAGAAGACCCUAUAGAGUUUUAUAAUUAAAUUAAUUGAGAUUUUUUGUAAGAUUAAAAUUAAAAUUAAUUUAUUUAUUUUGUUGGGGUGACAGAAAAAUAUGGAGAACUUUUUUUAUAUUAUUACAUAAAUAAGUGAUUAAAUGAUCCAAUAUUAUUGAUUAUAAGAAAAAAUUACCUUAGGGAUAACAGCGUAAUUUUUUUUUUUAGUUCAUAUAAAAAAAAAAGUUUGCGACCUCGAUGUUGGAUUAAGAUAAAAUUUAAAUGCAGAAG
rnacentral:rRNA from 1 species